rfam:Dracunculus medinensis genome assembly, scaffold: DME_contig0000340
CAUUCUUAGCGAUGGAUCACUCGGCUCGUGGAUCGAUGAAGAACGCGGCCAACCGCGAUAACUAGUGCGAAUUGCAGACACGUUGAGCACUAAAAUUUUGAACGCAAAUUGCGCUAAUAGGUUCGUUCCUAUUGGCACGUCUGGUUGAGGGUCU